GACGAACGCUGGCGGCGUGCUUAACACAUGCAAGUCGAACGGAAAGGCCCUGCUUUUGUGGGGUGCUCGAGUGGCGAACGGGUGAGUAACACGUGAGUAACCUGCCCUUGACUUUGGGAUAACUUCAGGAAACUGGGGCUAAUACCGGCUAGGAGCUCCUGAUGCAUGGUGGGGGUCGGAAAGUUUAGGCGGGUGGGGCUGGACUCGCGGCUAAUGAGCUUGUUGGUGGGGUAGUGGCUUACCAAGGCUUCGACUGGUAGCCGGCCUGAGAGGGUGACCGGCCACAUUGGGACUGCGAGACGGCCCAGACUGCUACGGUGGGCAGCGGUGGGGAAUAUGGCACAAUGGGGGGAAGUCUGAUGCAGCAACGCCGCGUGCGUGAUGACGGCCUUCGGGUUGUAAACCGCUUUCGCCUGUGACGAAGCGUUAGUGACGGUAAUAGGAGAAUAAGCACCGGCUAACUACGUG
rnacentral:rRNA from 1 species